rnacentral:rRNA from 1 species
CCUACGGGAGGCAGCAGUGGGGAAUUUUGGACAAUGGGGGCAACCCUGAUCCAGCAAUGCCGCGUGAGUGAAGAAGGCCUUCGGGUUGUAAAGCUCUUUUGUCAGGGAAGAAACGGUGUUUCCUAAUACGGAAUGCUAAUGACGGUACCUGAAGAAUAAGCACCGGCUAACUACGUGCCAGCAGCCGCGGUAAUACGUAGGGUGCAAGCGUUAAUCGGAAUUACUGGGCGUAAAGCGUGCGCAGGCGGUUUUAUAAGUCUGAUGUGAAAUCCCCGGGCUCAACCUGGGAACUGCAUUGGAGACUGUAAGGCUAGAGUGUGUCAGAGGGGGGUAGAAUUCCACGUGUAGCAGUGAAAUGCGUAGAUAUGUGGAGGAAUACCGAUGGCGAAGGCAGCCCCCUGGGAUAACACUGACGCUCAUGCACGAAAGCGUGGGGAGCAAACAGGAUUAGAUACCCUGGUAGUCCACGCCCUAAACGAUGUCUACUAGUUGUCGGGUCUUAAUUGACUUGGUAACGCAGCUAACGCGUGAAGUAGACCGCCUGGGGAGUACGGUCGCAAGNUUAAAACUCAAAUGAAUUGACGG